GUGAGUAGAAGACGCUCCCUCGUCCGAAUACUGCCUCAAAAUGGCGCCGGUGUCAGGCGAGCGGUUUAUGACUCAUCCACCAGCACGCGCUGCGCUGUGACGUCCCGCCGAUCCACAAUGUAUGCUGGCACGAGACUCGGCAGCUGAAGAGAGGAUUAGGAUUUCUCCUCCCUCCAGCCUGCAGGUGGCACAAGAGAGCACCUCUGUGCAGUGAGGGAAGGCUGGCUGUGACAUGAGGAGUGCGGAGAUCUCCGGAGGAAGAACAGAGGAGGGCCAACCAUGUCUUCCCGGUUGCUGAGAAAGUGAAACAUUUCUUCAGGAUGUACUCCAUUAAUGGGCACAAAAUGACGGCCCUGAGGCCGGCAUACCAUGCCGAGAGCUACAGCCCCGAUGAUAACCGGUUUGACCCCCGACCAUUGCUGUAUGAUGCAUCGUGGACAUCAAUUUAAUCAGUUUUUCAUUUCCAUACUAAAUGUUGAAUAUAAUUUAUUUUUCUACU